AAAAUAACAAUGCACAUCAUCUUCCCGGAGAAGAGACAGACAAAUAUUGCAGCCGAGAGGCACAGCAGGCAGCUUCCGUACAAAGUAGUUUGGCUAUUUAAAAUGCUAGAACCAGCCCUUGUCCGUGUCUCCAAACCCCAACCCCCGUCCCCAAAAGUCCUAUGAUAAUUUAAACACUUUUUUCC